UUGCAGCCCGGUGAAUGAGUCUACCCUGGUGUGGCGCCGGCGCUGCCUAUCCAAGGCACGAAAGACCGCAGUCCCAUACACACGCACACGCAAACCCGUUCAGACAAGCGCGUCACCGCAGAGCCGCUUUGCUGGGCCGCGGCAUGCGUGUGUGGUGAUGGUUUGCUUUCUGUGUGUAUGUGUGUGUGUGCGUGUGCUGCUUGUGCCACUUCUUAUUCACCUCACGUUGGCUCUCAUAGAAACGGUGGUGGUGACCAAAACUGCAGCGUACCUCUGCGCUCCCGCGCCUCCUCACAUAGAGAUAGACAGGAAACGGCACUGCCAACGUGGUGAGGUAGUUUUGCGAGCUGCAGUCGCGCUUCUACCUCCGCCCUCGCAGUUCGCCGCCGUUUUUUUUUUUUCGGGGGGGGGAGUGGUGGUGUUGCCGACGUUGUUUUUGUUCCCCUCUUUCAUUGCGGCCGUUGGUGUGGCGGUAUCCAUGUCGAGUGUGACGCUGUCCUCCGCAGUGCGGGCAAACCCGCGCCUCGUUAGCUCGUCGUUGGACAAGAUGACCUGCAACGCACAGGGAAUCACCGUGGUGGACAUUUACCCCUCUGUGUUGUCGGCCCUGACGGCGAAGGGUGCACCUGUAAGCGUCGCCGAGAGUGUUCGCGUGUUUGUGCAAGCUGCCCGGUGCAGCCGUCGCGCGCAGCGCCUGAGCACCGAGGACAAUGGGGACCGUGUCCAGCAUAGGCCGGCCGCCUCCCCUGGCCCUGCCGUCACCACUGGUGUGGGCAGCAGCAACUCGCCGGUCGAGAAAGAGAAAUCGGCAGCCAACGAGGACUCCUACUUGAAUUGCUUCAAUGUGGGUAUUGCUAUGAGUCUGCACACGGUGCUGCUCUCGCGCAACCGCAUCUCGAGCUUGCUCGGCAUAGUGCAGUUCAGGCACUGCGUUUGUCUGUCACUGCUAGGCAACCGCAUUCGCACCAUCGAGGAUUGCGAGCCACUCGCCAUGCUGCCUGAUUUGCAAUAUCUUUCCCUGGAGUACAACCCGGUGACACGGCUACCGCACUACCGCGCGCAUCUACUUCGAAUCUGCUCGUGGCCGCAAGAGUUGUCCCCCAGCACCUGCCGUCUGCGCAAACUAGACAGCGCUGCCGUCACCACGGCAGAGUUGAAACACGCCGCGUUGUGUCUUCUGCGGGAAUCGGCGCUGCUGCCGGAGCUGCUCUACCGCAUGCAGCUCCUGGCAUUUCUGGUGGACAUCGAAAACCGUCAGCGGCUGCACCGCGAACUUCGUCUGCGCGGUCACGUCUUGCAUGACUUGGGCGAACAGGCAAGUGUGGAGCUGCUGCUGGAACGAGGGGUGGCGCACGCGCUGUCCCGGGUCGGGGUUGCAGGGGCGGCGCACAUGGCUCGCCAGCUUGUGCGCGAUCAUCGUCGCCUGUGCGCGACCUCGCCUUCUCCGAGCGAGAACAGCAGUGCGCAUCUGGCCCGAGCACAGGCACCACACGCGCACACGCACACAGGCGUCACAGAGGAGAAAGGCGUGUGUGAGGCUGUUGACGAGAAAAGUGGCAGGGCAGCCGACGUCAGGACCACCAGAGUCACGAACUUCGCAUCUGAUACGAUAGACCCGAGCGAGAUUGCGAGCGUCAGCACCGUCUCCUCCUGCUCACUGCUUUCAAGCACCUCAUCCAGUGGCGCGAGUGUGCUGCAGUCGCUGUCGCAUCUGCUUGCAAGCAAAGAGCUGGACUGGAGUCGGAGGUCCUUGCGCCGCGCCGACGCCACGGAGGCUGCUGCUACGUGCAAGGCUUGGUCGAAGGACGCGUUCCGACAGACGAUCGUCUCUCUUGAUAUCCGCCUGUGCACACUGCUCCUGCGUAUCUCGAGCGUUUCGGGGCAGACGCUGACGUCCCAUGAUGUCGACCGCCUGUGUGGGGUGUGGCUGCAUGCCGUCUCGCAUUGUACGCCGGCGGAGGCCGCAGAGGUGAACGCGACGGGGCCGCGGCGACUGGUUGUCGAGUUCGGAGCCGUAGCGACGGAGCGCAAGAGUACCAAGAGAAGAGGUGCUUCGGAGGGACAGGUAGCGAUGAAACAACGGGAAGCCAGCCUUAGUACAGUAGUCACCGGUCGCACACCAAUGGGCACGGUCGCACCGGUGGAAACGAGCAUUAAGGACGCUCUUGAAAAGGAGUCGCGGUCUCUCUCCAGCACCUCACCGUCACCGCCGCAGCUGGAGCACCGCGACGCGCACGACGUGACGAGGGACUGCACACAGAUAUCCAUGACGUCGCUCUCCUCGGACGCUGCAUUGCUGCCGCGGGAUGCGGUUCCGCUGCCCACCACUCGCUCUCGAGCAGACCCAACGCAGCCAUCGAUGCCCAACCGUGAGACUACUGGAAGCACGGACGCACGCGCUGCACUUCACGCUAUCGCGCAAGACUCGGCCUCUUUGAAGGCAUCCGCUCGCGCCGAAACUAUUUACGCAUUUGAGGCGCUAGCGCGCGGACGUUGCAAGCGACGCGCUUUUCAGCAGUGGUGUUCAGCGCUGCGACAGCGCUGGCAAACACGCAUCGCGACCGCCUACAUUCGCGAAAAGGUCAGCGACGGCGCGGCUGCGAACAUUCGGAGUCCAUCCUGGGGUGGCCUUCUUGCCCAGGUGACCUACGUUGAGCGCAAGCGCGGCUUCUUCACUGUUUGGCGUCGGCGAGCGCAGCUGCACCGCGACUGCCGCACUCAGCGGCUCCGUAGAGUGUGGAACCUGUUGCGCGAGAAAGCGGCAGCAUCGUCCAUCCUUCGUGUGCGGUGCGAGCAGGCAUCUGCGCUGGUCGCGCAGCACAUGCGGGACGCGGCGUUUCGUACAUGGAAGUCCAAGGCGGAAAAGCGGGCAAGCGAGCGGUGCACGGCGGCUCGGCGCCGCAUCUUUGCUGAGGAGCCGCACAGUACAGACGCCUUCCUCGCACUAGCAUCCCUCACGCCAGUAAUGGCGCACCUGGCCAACCGCACACCGUCACCGCGCAUUACGGUGCUGCGCCGCACCUUGGCAGACGCACUAACGCCUCGCAGAAAAACCUGCACCACAGCCGUGGAAGCACCAUCCGUCACCUCGGUGCCUGAUGAGGUUCUCUCGGACACACCUGCAGCAGCGGCAGCAAGCCCGGCCAUCAUGUCUGUUUGGCGUCACGUGGCGGCCCUCGAGAGACGCGCAUGCUCACCUCACGCUUCAGCGUCCGUGAGCGAUAAAGAAGUGCAACACGGCCGCUAUGUAUGCAGCUCCUCAGACGAAGAGGCGGGGCUUUCCGCUGUGGGUGCGUCACCAACUCCUGGGGUCAGCGUCUCGAGCGAUACCGCCACACCGUUCGUCGGGGUUACCUCCCCGGAGUGGGUGCAGCAGCCACAACCGCUCUGCGGCGCCGCGAGGGCCGGAGCACUGCUCAGUGGCCCCAGCGGUGAGCUUUCGCCGCCGCCUGCAAUGCGCAUGCUUUUUUCGCCCGAGCCGAGGGGCCAGAACGCUGGGCCGAGUGGAUGCAGCCACACCGUCGACGCCGCCACAGUGCAGCCGCGGGCUUUGCAGCCGUCUCCAGCGCAGCUUCCACUCGCACGGGCACAUGCUAGACCAUCCGCAGUUGUGCUGGUACCUCCAGUAAAGUCGACUUCUUACAGAUUCUAUGGCUCUUCAAAGCCAAGCCGUCUUCCGUCCACCGCCGCUGCCCGUCGAGCGAUUGUGCAGUCAUCGUCUACGACCGAAGUGGAAGCUGCGCCGGGCGACGUGGACUCGCCGUACCCUGCUGCCGAUGUCGAGGCGUUGGUGGAGCGGGCGAGGCAGCUUGAGAUCGAUCGUGACCACCUCAUAGAAACGUUGCGGAGCCUUCAUCUCUCUCAGCAGAAGCAUUGCACACAAGAAAGGCCGCAGCCACUGCAUGCAGCCUCCACAGCAGACUCUGUAUUACUGCCCUCCUCGGCGCCGCCGGCGCCCUCCUUCACCGUUGCCGAGCAGCUGGAAGGGCGGUGCGCCUCUCUGGAGAAGGAGGUGCAUCGGCUGGAGAAGUUUGUGGUUGCGCUACAAGACGAGCGACACCAGCUUCUGGAUAAUAUGAAACGUAGUAUGUUUCGUUACAGAGCAUGAUGCGCAACGCCGAAGAAGUGAAAAGCAGCGGAAUCAAGGGCAAUACCGUCCGCGCGCAGCUGUGGGAUAAUAAGGUGUGCGGCGCUGCGCACGGCCUCCGUGCUCGACUGUAUCAUGUGUCGUUAUCUGUUUUGCGUUCACCUGAGCCUCGUCUCUGUCUCUCUCUCGCCCCCUCUCCCUCUUUGAAAGGUGCUGCGUGUGCCGUCAUAUGGGCGGGAGAGACGCGUUGGCCAUGGCGGGUGGGCACGGGGCCGCGGCCGCCGUGGUCGCACGCACUUCAGCCGAGGGCUCCUAAACCGCACAAGACGGGAAACGAAAAAAACAAGGAAAAAGGGGGAAAGGCCUCCUCCGCCCCCCCCUCCUCCUCCUCCUCAUCCUGCCUCCCUCUUUGAUGCGCAGCCCCUUUAGUUGUGGUUUUGUUUUUUAGCGAUGUCGCUCUCUCUCUCUCUCUCCUCGCCUCCCCUCUCUCUCUCACGCACCGUUCACACAUACACACACACGUCCGUCCGUGGAACAAAG
rnacentral:misc_RNA from 1 species